GUCGAAGAAACUCGGAGGGGAAAAACAGAAAUGAGAUUUCAGAUGCUGAAGAGUCUCAACAUCUCGAAUCUGCCUUCACCUCAGCGUCCCUGAAAGAUCAAUCUGGAAACGAUGAUGUGAAGUCCAUUGUUUCAGGUCACCUAAAACUCAUGCAAACACCAGGAG